AUGAACGCUAGCGACAGGCCUAACACAUGCAAGUCGAGGGCAGCACAAGAGCAAUCUGAGGUGGCGACCGGCGCACGGGUGAGUAACACGUAUGCAACCUGCCUGUAAGCGGGGAAUAAACCCGUUGAAAGACGGACUAAUACCGCAUAAUACUAAAUUACUGCACGGUAAUUUAUUUAAACAUUUAUGGCUUACAGAUGGGCAUGCGCAUGAUUAGCUAGUUGGAGAGGUAACGGCUCCCCAAGGCAACGAUCAUUAGGGGUUCUGAGAGGAAGGUCCCCCACACUGGUACUGAGACACGGACCAGACUCCUACGGGAGGCAGCAGUGAGGAAUAUUGGUCAAUGGACGAGAGUCUGAACCAGCCAAGUCGCGUGCAGGAAGAAUGUUCCCUAUGGAUUGUAAACUGCUUUUGCAGGGGAAUAAAGUGCAUCACGUGUGAUGUUUUGUAUGUACUCUGCGAAUAAGGAUCGGCUAACUCCGUGCCAGCCGCCGC
rnacentral:rRNA from 1 species